UACGUAGGGUGCGAGCGUUAAUCGGAAUUACUGGGCGUAAAGCGUGCGCAGGCGGUUUUGUAAGCCAGAUGUGAAAUCCCCGGGCUUAACCUGGGAAUGGCAUUUGGGACUGCAAGGCUUGAGUGUGGCAGAGGGGACUGGAAUUCCUGGUGUAGCAGUGAAAUGCGUAGAGAUCAGGAGGAAUACCGAUGGCGAAGGCAGGUCCCUGGGCUGACACUGACGCUCAUGCACGAAAGCGUGGGGAGCAAACAGGA
rnacentral:rRNA from 1 species